rnacentral:rRNA from 1 species
AAGCGUGCGCAGGCGGUUUGUUAAGACAGGUGUGAAUUCCCCGGGGCUUAACCUGGAAAUUGCGCUUGUAACUGGCAAGCUAGAGUGUGGCAGAGGGGGGGUGGAAUUCCACGUGUAGCAGUGAAAUGCGUAGAUAUGUGGAGGAACACCGAUGGCGAAGGCAGCCCCCUGGGUUAACACUGACGCUCAGGCACGAAAGCGUGGGGAGCAAACAGGAUUAGAUACCCUGGUAGUCCACGCCCUAAACUAUGUCAACUAGUUGUCGGGGAAGAAAUUCCUUGGUAACGAAGCUAACGCGUGAAGUUGACCGCCUGGGGAGUACGGCCGCAAGGUUAAAACUCAAAGGAAUUGACGGGGACCCGCACAAGCGGUGGAUUAUGUGGAUUAAUUCGAUGCAACGCGAAAAACCUUACCUACCCUUGACAUGCUAGGAAGUCCGCAGAGAUGUGGACGUGCCCGAAAGGGAACCUAGACACAGGUGCUGCAUGGCUGUCGUCAGCUCGUGUCGUGAGAUGUUGGGUUAAGUCCCGCAACGAGCGCAACCCUUGUCAUUAGUUGCUACGUAAGGGCACUCUAAUGAGACUGCCGGUGACAAACCGGAGGAAGGUGGGGAUGACGUCAGGUCAUCAUGGCCCUUAUGGGUAGGGCUACACACGUCAUACAAUGGCCGGUACAGAGGGCUGCCAACCCGCGAGGGGGAGCCAAUCCCAGAAAACCGGUCGUAGUCCGGAUCGCAGUCUGCAACUCGACUGCGUGAAGUCGGAAUCGCUAGUAAUCGCGGAUCAGCUUGCCGCGGUGAAUACGUUCCCGGGUCUUGUACACACCGCCCGUCACACCAUGGGAGCGGGUUCUGCCAGAAGUAGUUAGCCUAACCGCAAGGGGGGCGAUUACCACGGCAG